rnacentral:rRNA from 1 species
GACUCAACACGGGGAAACUCACCAGGUCCAGACAUAACUAGGAUUGACAGAUUGAUAGCUCUUUCUUGAUUUUAUGGGUGGUGGUGCAUGGCCGUUCUUAGUUGGUGGAGUGAUUUGUCUGGUUAAUUCCGAUAACGAACGAGACCUUAACCUGCUAAAUAGCCAGACCGUCUUUUGAUGGUUGCAGGCUUCUUAGAGGGACUGUCAGGAUCUACCUGACGGAAGUUUGAGGCAAUAACAGGUCUGUGAUGCCCUUAGAUGUUCUGGGCCGCACGCGCGCUACACUGACAAAGCCAGCGAGUUUAUCACCUUGGCCGGAAGGUCCGGGUAAUCUUGUGAAACUUUGUCGUGCUGGGGAUAGAGCAUUGCAAUUAUUGCUCUUCAACGAGGAAUGCCUAGUAAGCGCAAGUCAUCAGCUUGCGUUGAUUACGUCCCUGCCCUUUGUACACACCGCCCGUCGCUACUACCGAUUGAAUGGCUUAGUGAGGUCUUCGGAUUGGCGUUAGGGACCCGGCAACGGGACUCUUUUGCUGAGAAGUUGAUCAAACUUGGUCAUUUAGAGGAAGUAAAAGUCGUAACAAGGUUUCCGUAGCACAAGUCUACGAAGAACAGUAAUGUUCCUUCCGCAGAGUACACUUGCAGAAGCCUUAGUGGCCCGAAAGGGUGUCAUCAACGACUAUAAACAAGUAGAUGGAUUAAACGCUAGUCUCUUCUAGAGGCAACACUAUCAAAUUGCGGGAAGAUCCUGUCAUGUCCACAUCACCGCGGCUCACCGAAAGGUGCAGUGCAGCACCAGGUUAACUACCUUGGGAAUGGUAAUAGCAUGUUGGAAUAGGGAGAAUCCGCAGCCAAGCCCCUUUGUGGGGUGCAGUUCACAGGCCAAAUGGUAGUGGGCACUUCAAGUGCUUAAGAUAUGGUCGAGUCCCAGUUGUAAAGCUGGGUACAAGUACUCUUGCUUGGAUAUAAAAUGCAAAUGUUCCGUAGGUGAACCUGCGGAAGGAUCAUUAAUGAAUUAUAAGCCGGUCGUCUGUGCUGGUGGGGCAACUCACAUGUGCACGUCGAUCGCAAAUCCACACACCUGUGCACUUUUGACUUUGGGAUCCACUGGUUGGCUUGUCCGACUUGUAGCUGGUUUUGGUCUUGUACCUUGGCCUGGGUCUCAGAGUAAUUUUUACACACUCUGAAUGUAAUGGAAUGUCUUGUGCAUAAUGCAUAUAAAAACAACUUUCAACAACGGAUCUCUUGGCUCUCGCACCGAUGAAGAACGCAGCGAAAUGCGAUAAGUAAUGUGAAUUGCAGAAUUCAGUGAAUCAUCGAAUCUUUGAACGCACCUUGCACCUUUUGGUAUUCCGAAAGGUACNNCCCGNUUUGAGUGNCAUUGUAAUCUCACUCCUUCAACUUUUGUUGUUGCUGGAUGUGGACUUGGACUCUGUCGUGUUACAGCGACUGGUCUGAAAUGCCUGAGUACACCCUGCUGUUGCAGCGUCUUCAGUGUGAUAAGCAUCUUCACUGAUUCAAGUUCCUUUUGGGACACGUAGCAUUGUGGGCUCUGUGCUGACAAACCGUCUUCGGACAAACUUUGACAAUUUGACCUCAAAUCGGGUGGGACUACCCGCUGAACUUAAGCAUAUCAAUAAGCGGAGGAAAAGAAACUAACAAGGAUUCCCCUAGUAACGGCGAGUGAAGAGGGAAAAGCUCAAAUUUUGAAUCUGGUGUCUUUGGCGCCCGAGUUGUAAUCUAGAGAAGUGUUUUCUGCCUCGGACCACACAUAAAUUCCCUGGAAUGGGGUGUCAUAGAGGGUGAGAAUCCCGUUUGUGGUGUGGACUACCUUGGCUCUGUGAUACACUCUCAACGAGUCGAGUUGUUUGGGAAUGCAGCUCAAAAUGGGUGGUAAAUUCCAUCUAAAGCUAAAUAUUGGCGAGAGACCGAUAGCGAACAAGUACCGUGAGGGAAAGAUGAAAAGCACUUUGGAAAGAGAGUGAAACAGUACGUGAAAUUGUUGAAAGGGAAGCGUUUGAAGUCAGUCACAUCGAUCGGAAUUCAGCCUGGCUUUGCCUGGUGUACUUUCUGGUAGAUGGGUCAGCGUCAAUUUCGACUGAGGGAAAAAGACUUGAGGAAUGUGGCUGUCUUCGGGCAGUGUUAUAGCCUCUUGUUGUAUGUCUCAGUUGGGAUUGAGGACCGCAGCACGCCAUUUGGCCGGGGUUCGCGCCCUCGGAACGUGCUUAGGACGCUGGCAUAAUGGCUUUAAGCGACCCGUCUUGAAACACGGACCAAGGAGUCUAACAUGUGCGCGAGUGUUUAGGUGUUAAACCUGGGCGCGUAAUGAAAGUGAAAGGUCGGGAUCAUGUACUUGUGCACCGACGCCCGGAGCAGACCUUCUGUGACGCAUCCGCGGUAGAGCGUAUAUGUUGGGACCCGAAAGAUGGUGAACUAUGCCUGAAUAGGGUGAAGCCAGAGGAAACUCUGGUGGAGGCUCGUAGCGAUUCUGACGUGCAAAUCGAUCGUCAAAUUUGGGUAUAGGGGCGAAAGACUAAUCGAACCAUCUAGUAGCUGGUUCCUGCCGAAGUUUCCCUCAGGAUAGCAGAAACUCAUUAUCAGCCUUGUGCGGUAAAGCGAAUGAUUAGAGGCCUUGGGGUUGAAACAACCUUAACCUAUUCUCAAACUCUAAAUGUGCAAGAUAGAGUUGUCACUUGAUUGGACUUCUCUGUGGGUGAGAGUUUCUAGUGGG